GGAAACUAGAAUUUUACAAGAAUUAAAUUCAAUUAAACUCUUUUUUUUUGUUAUCAAUUCUCAUGAUUGGAAAUCUAAUGGCUUCACUUUGGAAUAAAUCAUUUAUAAGAGAAUGCAUAAUCAGGCUUGAUUUCUUUUUAUUUUAAAAUGAAUUUUUUUUAUGUUAAAAAUAAUUCAUUUUUUUAAUUCCAAACAUUAGAAUUGAUUAAAAAGAAAUCAAU
rnacentral:misc_RNA from 1 species